rnacentral:rRNA from 1 species
AACGAACGCUGGCGGCAGGCUUAACACAUGCAAGUCGAGCGCCCCGUAAGGGGAGCGGCAGACGGGUGAGUAACGCGUGGGAAUCUACCCAUCUCUGCGGAACAACUCCGGGAAACUGGAGCUAAUACCGCAUACGCCCUUCGGGGGAAAGAUUUAUCGGAGAUGGAUGAGCCCGCGUUGGAUUAGCUAGUUGGUGGGGUAAAGGCCUACCAAGGCGACGAUCCAUAGCUGGUCUGAGAGGAUGAUCAGCCACACUGGGACUGAGACACGGCCCAGACUCCUACGGGAGGCAGCAGUGGGGAAUAUUGGACAAUGGGCGCAAGCCUGAUCCAGCCAUGCCGCGUGAGUGAUGAAGGCCCUAGGGUUGUAAAGCUCUUUCACCGAUGAAGAUAAUGACGGUAGUCGGAGAAGAAGCCCCGGCUAACUUCGUGCCAGCCGCCGCGGUAAGAC